rnacentral:misc_RNA from 1 species
AAGUCGUAACAAGGUUUCCGUAGGUGAACCUGCGGAAGGAUCAUUAGAAUGAGAGCCGGACCAUGUCGUGGGCGAAAGCUCGCACGUGCCAGUAAGCGCCCGUAAACCUCCACCCUUGUGUAUUAUUCUUCUGUUGCUUUGGCGGGCCGUCGCUAGACCGCUGGUUUCGGCCAGCGCGUGCCCGCCAGAGGACCCCAAACUCUGUGUUUUAGUGUUGUCUGAGUACUAUAAAAUAAGUGAAAA